rnacentral:lncRNA from 10 species
ACAGGCCUGCUUUUGAAGACAGAGAAGCUGAGGCCCAGAAAGGAUGGCAGAAUUAGAGGAUGGUCCAGAAUAAUGACUAAUAACCAUCUGGAAAUGACGGUGGCUAAUAACCAGCUGGAAAAGAUGAGCUAAGCCAAUCAAAGUCUACUCCGGGAAAUUUAAACCAAAAGACCCAGAGUUACCAGAAAGAGUGGAGCUGAAAAGUCAUGCAUAUUCAGAAAUAAGGCAACUAUUAAGAAUCAUGUGCAACUUGAAGAGGAACUCACAAGUUUCAGAAGCAAAUAGAUCAGAUGCCCAAAGACAAGAAAGACCUGUAAGAAAACAAUGCAUAAAAUCCCUAAAACAAAGCAGUUGAUACUACCAGCUUUCUAUUUCCAAUUACUCUGAAGUCCAAUUGCUCUUCCUUGAUGGUUUAUUGUGUAUCUUAAAAUAAACCUUGCUCUUACUUCAGUACAUUUGCCUCUUGCCCUGACUAGAAGCAAAACUGGUACAAAGAUUAGGGAUAUACAGAGCAGGGCUUCAAAGAAAAUGUGGAUUUGGCCAUGAAAUUAGGGUAAGGAGUACAAUGAGAAUUCUGGGAGGAAAGAGAGCAAAACAGGAUGCAUACAGUGAUAGCAGUUACUAAAGUUAUCUGUGAUUGCUUGGAACCCAGAAUAUGUGAUUGCAAGGCUUUUGAGCAUUAGAUAGCUAAAUGUACUUUUUUUCAGCCUUUAAUAAAGUAUAGAAAAAGCAAUGAGCUAGAGUAUGGUACAGCAUCAAACCAUACAACUUUUCUGGAAAAUAAUUCGAUAUUAUGAAUUAAGAGACUAUAAAGAGAAUUAAAUAGAGUACUUUGAUUCAGUAAAUCUCUUUUUAGGACUCGACCCUAAGAAAACAUCCAGACAUGCAAACAAAGAUCACAAUUAGUAUUAAGAUGUUUAUUGCACCAUUAUGUAAAGCAAUAAAAAAGCAAACAAUCUAAACAACACAUAAUAGAAAAAUUAUGCUUUAUCAUGUCAAAUGUAUUGUUCAUCUUAUUCACAGGCCUUUCUAGAGAAAAGUGCCCCAUCUACAGUCCUUCUGAAAGAGCAGCCCUGGCAGACCACGUGAUCAACAGUAUAAAACUGACUGGAUCUGGCGUUGACACUUGAUUCCAAAGACCAAGAAUUUAAUACCAAAAGCCAUAGGCUAGCCAGCAAGCUAUGAUGUGGUCUGGCUUAAAAGAGUGAACUGGGUCAGAUUCUACUUCCUAGAUAUUCAACUAGUAAAAUCAAGAAAUGUAGCAGGUAUUAACAGGCACUAAAGCCAAAAUGGCUUUAUGUACACAGAGGCCAGGGAAGUCACUGUGAUUCUCAUGUAAGCCAGUUUUAAUAGACCCAACACAAAAAGAGGAACAGACACUGUAAGAGACCACAUAGCCCACUAGAAAGAGUAAGCAGUCCACAGAAAUGAGUCCCUGAUAACUGAGGCUCAGCUGUACUACAACUUGUGUUACAAGACUCUUGGAAGAU